AAUGGAAUAGAAUCUGAUACUGGUGGGAUGCGGGAGGUCCCCAGACACUGGGGGAAUCUCGACCCCAGCUGUGUUGUCCAGGCUCUUGACACCACCUCAAGAAUGAAGUGAAGGAUGAGUCAGCAAAUAGUGAAAGAAGAGAUUUAUUGCAAAGCAAAAAGUACGCACUCAAGAAAGGGGAGUUUGGGUAUAUCCAAGACAGAACAAUGGGUUCUGGGGUUUCAUCUUGAUGGGUUUCUUCAACCAAGGAGUGGAAUAUUCAUGAAAAUUCCCAGGUAAAAGUGGAAAUUUCUCGGAACUGUGGUGCGAUCCAUUUUUACAUCAAAUAAUGAUCUCAGAACCGUCAUGGCACUGGUAGAAUAUAAAAAACUAACACAAGGUAAGGGCUAAGGUCUGGAGAUGGCUGCCCAAGAGAUGACAAAGUCCAACACCACGCUUGAGAGUGUCCAAUCAUCUCUUCUGGGGCAGCAUAUUUCUCUACAAUCCUGAAUUUGGAAAACAAGCAACAAGAUUCAUGAAACUGGACAACUGUCUUUAUAACAUUACCAGUGAUAAAACCAGUAAGGAAGGCUGGUUUGCAGUCAUCCGACCUGCCUCUUUACUUUCAUAAAUACGGUUUCUCUCUGAUAGUAAACGGCUUCCAAUUUCAAGCGGAAUGCUACAUCACAAGGAUAAGGAUGUGAAGAGAACCGGUUUCUUUUGUAAUCCUAAACGUUCCGCACAGGAGAUUUUGCGAAUUAAAAGCCAUUAUUUGAAGAAGGGUGCCCAGGAUCCAUCUGGCCGCGGAAAGGUUGCUCCGCAACACAGGCUACGGACCUGCUUCUUUGGGAGAGAACAGAUGCCGGGGCGGGAGGGAAAAAGGGAGAGGCAGACGUCACUUCCCCCUGGCCGCUCCUGCAGCGGAUUGGGCGGCUGAGUGGCAGAAAGGCAGACGGGGACUGGGCAGGGCACUGUCGCUGACAUCACGGAUAAGGCGACUUCUAUGUAGAUGAGGCAGCGCAAGGGCUGCUUCUUCGCCACCUGCUGCUUCGGCACGAAGGAGUUUCCAUGCUGUGGAGCGGGUUCAGGACCGUUGGUAGGACUUGAGAAGCCCAGCUGUGUGUCAGGGCUAGAAGGGCUCGGGAGUGCGCGUGGCAAGUGACCCUUCACCAUGCUGACAGCCUCCAGUCCAAGCGUACCUGAAGCCUUUCUUUUUAAAAAGCUUUCCCACCCUCCUGACUGCCUUCAAGUCUCUGCCAAAACACAAGUCACAGUGACUGACUCCCUGCUAUAGCAAGCUCGGAAUAAAUAGCCUUUGCUUUUU